CAGGAAUCAAACUCAGGACCUUGUGCUUGCCAGGCAGGCGUUGCACUGCUUAGCAAUAUCCCUGGACCCCAGAUAUCUCUUUGGUCGCAAAAUUGAAGCUAUUAGUGGUAAAGCGUGGAGGCGAGACUUACUUCUUCCUGGGAUGGUACCGUUCCCCGCUGCGCUCUGGUGCGACCGUCUCAGCACCGCGCUAGGGAGGAGCGGAACCCGGAAAAUGUGAACUCACGGGGAAGAAAUGAUCUCCUUCAGGAAGAUUUCCUUGCCUUUUGAAACUGUGCUAAGAAUAAAUUUGAUCUGCUAUGUACAUAGCUACGUGUGGAACAAAAUCCUCAUGCCUGGCACCUAAACCUUGUCCACGUGCUUCCAGAAAAUUAUUCUUCAAGACAGUGAAUGUCCUACCCCUUAGUGCAGGAGGAAAGUGACCUGCGAUUUCAAUUUUUCUCAUGCACGUAGGAGCCAUUCAUUAGCUAAAUCUCAAUUGUGUUCCAAAAAUUUGAAUGGAACGGACCUGUAUUGUGCCCCAAUGUCCCAGCUGCUUACAGCGGAAGAAAUUUAAUCAAAGAAAGAAAAGAGACUGAAGUUUGCCAAACUAACCCACUGUAGUGGGU